GGCGUGGAGGUCAAGAGUAUAGAUUCUGGAGUCAGAUUGCCUGGGUUCAAAUUCCAGCGUGCUGGCUUACUAUCUGUGUCCUUAGGCAAGUCAUUUAUCUUUUGCACUGUCUCUUCAUCUGCAAAAUUAGGAUAAUAUCAGUGAAGUUUUACUUCAUAGAGUUGUUAAUGGAAUUAAAUUAAAUAUUAUUACUAUUAAGCAUGGGGAAGGUUCUAGCAUCUGAUGUUUUAAAAAUGGGGCACCUGGGUGGCUCAGUCGGUUAAGUGUCUGACUUCAGCUCAGGUCAUGAUCUUGUAGUUUGUGGGUUCAAACCCCGCAUCAGGCUCUGAGCCUGGAGCCUGCUUGGGAUUCUGUGUCUCCCUCUCUCUCUGCCUCUCCUCUGCUCACUCUCUUUCUCUCUAAAAUAAAUAAACAUUUAAAAAAUCAUUAAAAAAAUUAAAAAGACCGUAGAUCAUGAGAUGCAGCUGAGCUGGUGAAACACUUUGCCACAAAGCUAUUUCUUUUAUUUUAUUACUAUCUUAUUUUAAAUGUUUAUUUAUUUUUGAGAGAGAGAGAGAGAGAGAGAGCGAGCACGUGUGGGAGCACAAGAGGGGGAAAGAGGGAGAAGAAGACUGAGGAUCCAAAGCAGGCUCUGUGCUAACAACAGAGACCCCAAUGCAGGGCUCAAACUCAUGAACCCUGAGAUCAUGACCUGAGCAGAAGUCGGUCACUUAACCGACUGAGUUACCCAGGCACCUCACCACAAAGCUAUUUCUAAUCAGCUUUCAACCAUUGGUCUUUAAUAUGAUCUCAGAGGUAGAAACAGGAGAUUCAAGGACAUGAAAGAAUAACUUUUGGCAAAUGACUGAUCACUGACAAGGAAGAUGAAAACUAGGAGGAAUUGCCUUUUGAUCAGUCCUUAUGUGGAUACAUUUAUGAAACACUGGACCAUUUUCAAGAUAGAAGCCAUUUCCCAUCUCAAAGGGUGAAAAUGCCACAUAUACACUUUCCCAGAAUUCAGCGCAGCUAGGAAUUCACAUGUGACUGGGUUCUGGCCAAUGAGAACGGAGAAUUCUGCUAGAAGCUUCUGGAAAAGACUUUCUUCCCUGUUUGCACAGACUCAGCCUACCUUUUCCAGGCCAUUGAACAUAAGUUUGUAAAGAUCUGAUCCUUGUGAUUGCUGCACCGAUUUGGGCACUAUAAGAGGAGAUAUCAUGGGACAAUAAGAAGAGGUGCCACACAGAGAAUGGCAGACAGAAAGAUGAACCCACCCAGGGAGCACACUUCUCAUUAUGUGAAAUGUUAAAAAAAGUUUUCCUUGUUUAAGUCACUUUUAGUUGAGUUUUUUGCUGUUGCUACCUGCAGCUGAAAACAUCCUAAUGAACACACUUCAUUACUGCCUUAGGAUAAAGGUGAAAUCACUUCCUGUAACUAAUAAAGAUUUCAAACCUGAAUAAUCUGGCCCCCUC
rnacentral:lncRNA from 1 species